CAGCCCUCCCUCCUGCUGGCUUGCUGUGUGGUAAGGAGUUUCCUCCCCAGCAGCCCCUGACACAGGUGGGAAUGACAGUUUGCUGCAGUCCCGUCAAUGAGGGAAUCUGCCCGAGCUCUGCCUGCGUUUUGAGCAGCAAACUAGCUCCAGCCACCAAGACCGUUGCCUGCGCUGUCUUAGGCCAGCCCAUGCUGUCUGCCAGCCGCUUGUUGCGCUGCCUUGGGGACUGGGAACACACCCAGCCCCGGUCCCCAUCUGUUGCAGACAUGCAGUGGCAGCAGCUCGGAGCACAGCCGAACCCUAGAAAUUGCCUGUGCUGAAGGGGCUGGGAAACCCCUUCUCUGAUGGACCUUUCGAGUGAGGCAGCAGGAUUUGUCAGAGCUGGGAGUGCCGCCCGUCCCCGUCACUCGCAUCCUGCCAUCCAGCAGCUUACAAGCCUGCACUGCUUAUUAGCAUCUGGAAGAGAAGACCUCCAGGACCCCUUGGGGCUGAGACCUGAGCUCCUUCGCCAUGCCGCUCCUGGACGGAGACCUGGAGGGUUCCGGAAAGCAUUCCUCUCGAAAGGUGGACAGCCCCUUCGGCCCGGGCAGCCCCUCCAAAGGGUUCUUCUCCAGAGGCCCCCAGCCCCGGCCCUCCAGCCCCAUGUCUGCACCUGUGAGGCCCAAGACCAGCCCCGGCUCUCCCAAAACCGUGUUCCCAUUCUCCUACCAGGAGUCCCCGCCGCGCUCCCCUCGACGCAUGAGCUUCAGUGGGAUCUUCCGCUCCUCCUCCAAAGAGUCUUCCCCCAACUCCAACCCUGCUACCUCGCCCGGGGGCAUCAGGUUUUUCUCCCGCUCCAGAAAAACCUCCGGCCUCUCCUCCUCUCCGUCAACACCCACCCAAGUGACCAAGCAGCACACGUUUCCCCUGGAAUCCUAUAAGCACGAGCCUGAACGGUUAGAGAAUCGCAUCUAUGCCUCGUCUUCCCCUCCGGACACAGGGCAGAGGUUCUGCCCAUCUUCCUUCCAGAGCCCGACCAGGCCUCCACUGGCAUCACCGAC
rnacentral:lncRNA from 1 species